GUUGGUUGAAAAUCACCUGCGGCCCUGCCCGUGGCGCCCAGAGCCCCCGGGGCCUCAGCUCACCGCCCCCUGGUGCGUGUGGGGAGGUGAAACCCGCCCCGACAGCG